CUACUUACCUGGCAGGGAAGUUACCAUGAUCACGAAGGUGGUUUUCCCAGGGUGUGGCUUCUCCAUUGCACUCUGGAUGCGCUGAGCCUUGCAGUUUCCCCAAAUGCGAAAAACUAACUGCAUAAUUUGUGGUAGCUGGGAAUUGUGUGCAUGCUCUCCCUU